ensembl:lncRNA ZIM2-AS1 ZIM2 antisense RNA 1
AGAGCGGCGAGCCGGUGAGUGUGGCUGCGGGGUCGCGCCCACCCUCUACCUGUGCCGGGGGCCGGAACCUGGCCCCGGGGAGGGCGCGGCCUCGGGGAGACGGCGUGCAGGCCCAGCACUGUUGGUCACCGCAGGCCUGUCUUCCUAUUCACCGUGGGCAGCAGAGGGAUGGCUGCUCAGCUGCUGACUGAUGAGGCACUGUUCUAACAGAAUGGGAAGACAGAUGGACAAAUGACCUCCUGGUGCUGAGAGAGGGAAGGAGGCAGCUGCCUGUGGAUCCACUGUGCUGGGGCUAGCCCCAGAGGAGGGGGCUCACACUGCUGGGAGGUCCUUUCCAGGCUGUGUGGCUGCAGGUCAUGAACUCUGAGAGUUUGAGAUGAGCCUCUAAAAGCUGUAUCAAUAGCACCUUGCACUGUUGAAGCAGAUAGUGUCUUGCAAUGUCGCCCAGGCUGGAGUGCAGUGGUGCCCCUCCUGUUGUGAAUCUUUGAAUCUGCUGUUAUUAAGUUGCUGGUGCUGAAAUAACACUUAUUAUUUAUGAUCUAACUGAAAUGGGAACACUGGAAACUUCUUUGAAACUGAAGAAAAAAAUGAAAAAGAAGUUUUUACAAUCAAAACUGCCAUGAAGACUGCUUUACCCAAAAUUUUGGUCCACAGCUUUCAUUGAAUUACUUAUCAGGGCAAACAAAGUUUAGCCAUGUGAACACGUUCCAAUUUUGUUGGAAAUAAUUUGGAUCCAGCUAUCUUUAUACAAUGGUGAGUUCGUAUUGCAUCUCAUGGCUAAAAUACUGAGGUAAAGGCUUUUGGAUCUUUGUGUGUGUGUGUGUGCAUGUGACAAAAACAAGCAAUGGGGAAAGGAGUCCCUAUUUAAUAAAUGGUGUUGGGAGAACUGGCUAGCCAUAUGCAGAAAGUUGAAACUGGAGCCCCUCCUUAUACCAUAUACAAAAAUCAACUCAAGAUGAAUUAAAGACUUAAAUGUAAAAACCCAAACUAUAAAAACCCUAGAAGAAAAUCUAGGCAAUACCAUUCAGGACAUGGGCACAGGCAAAUAUUUCAUGACAAAGAUGCCAAAAGCAGUAGCAACAAAAGCAAAAAUUGACAAAUGGAAUCUAAUUAAACUAAAGAGCUUCUGUACAGCAAAGAAAUUAUCAUCAGAGUGAACAGACAGCUUACAGCAUGGGAGAAAAUUUUUGCAGUAUAUCCAUCUGACAAAGGUCUAAUAUUCAGCAUCUACAAGGAACUUAAACAAAUUUACAAGAAAAAAAAACAACGCCAUUAAAAAAUGGGCAAAGGACGUGGACAGACACUUCUCAAAAGAAGAAAUUUAUGUGGGCAAUGAACAUUUUUUUUAAAAAAGCUCAACACCACUGAUCAUUAGAGAAAUGCACAUGAAAACCACAAUGAGAUACCAUCUCACACCAGUCAGAAUGGCUAUUACUUAAAGGUCAAAAAACAACAGAUGAUAGCAAGGUUGUGAAGAAAAAUGAACACUUUUAUACGUUGGUUGGAGUAUAAAUUAGUUCUACCCUUGUCGAAGACAGUGUGGUGAUUCCUCAAAGACCUAGGGGAAGAAAUAUCAUUUGACCCAGCAAUCUCAUUACUGGGUAUAUACCCAGAGGAAUAUAAAUCAUUCUAUUAUAAAGAUACAUGUGCAUGUUCAUUGCAAAAUAGCAAAAACAUGGAAUCAACCUAAAUGCUCAUCAAUGACAGACUUGAUAAAGGAAAUAUGGUACGUAUACACCAAGGAAUACCAUGCAGCCAUAAAAAGGAACAAGAUAAUGUCUUUUGCAGGGACCUGGAUGGAACCAGAAGCCAUUAUCCUCAGCAAAUUAAUGCAGGAACAGAAAAGCAAAUACCACAUGUUCUCACUUGUAAGUGGUAGCUGAAUGAUGAGAACACAUGGACACAUGGUGGGGAACAAUACACACUGGGGCCUGUUGCAGGGUGCGGAGUGGGAGGGAGAGCAUCGGGAAGAAUAGCUAAUGCAUGCUGGGCUUAAUACCUAGGGGAUGGAAUGAUCUGUGCUGCAAACCACUAUGGCACACAUUUACCUAUGUAACAAACCUACACAUCCUGCACAUGUACCCCUGACCUU